AUAUUAUUCUUAUUUUUCUCUCAUUAUGAAUAAACGAAGCAAUAAUAGUGAUGAAGAUAUUCGUCAGAUUUUAGACGAAUCAAACAGCGAUUACUCUGAUUUAUCUGAAUCAGAUUCAUUUGAAGAAUCGAUCGGUUCAGGUGAUGAUCCGACUUACACUUUAGACAAAGAUGAUUCUUCUGAUGAUGGAUUAAACUUUACUAGUAGUGAUGAUUAUUAGGAAGAAUACAAUGCAAACAUAUGUGAUAAUUUGUCCACUGUAUACGAAGAGGUAGACAGUGAGUGAUUGGGAAGACGAUAUAAAUGAAAUAGAAGAUUUCAAUUAUGAUGAACAAAGUGCUGGUGUACAAUUAGAUAUUUUUGAUGAAGCUACCCCAUAUGAUGUUUUUAUGAAGAUUUGGAAUGAAGAGGUAAUGCAACUUAUUUUAAAUUCAUCAAACAAAUAUGGAAAAAAACAACUUAAUUUAAAUCGCCCUCAUACUAAAAAUGGUCGUGUACAAAAUUAUAAAGAAAUUUCCACGAUUGAGUUGCAAAAAUUUUUUGGUUUGUGUUUGUUGAGAGUGGAACUUGGUAUACCUGUACUUAGGCAAUGUUUUGGAACGGAUCCAUUGAGCUAUCACCCCAUAUUUUCAUUUACAAUGAGUGGAAGAAGGUUUGAACAAUUUUUAAGAGUUUUACAUUGUUCUGAAGGUAUUCCAGUUGAAAUAAAUGAUAGUUUAGUAAAAAUAUCUCCACUUUUCAAUAUGCUUAUAUGAAAAUUUCAGUCCUCCUACUCUCCGCCAGUAAAUUUGUCACUUGAUGAGUCAAUGAUGCUCUGGAGAGGCCGCUCAAUAUUUCUUCAGUAUAUAAAAAACAAAAAACAUAAGUACGUAAUAAAAUUUUAUGAACUUUAUACCACCAAUGGAUACGUAAUUUCAGCAAAAAUAUAUAAAGGGAAAAAUAUCGAAGAUACUUCAUCAUCAAAAGUAAAUGAUUUAGUUAUGAGACCAUAUUUAAAUAAAGGCCACCAUCUUUUUAUGGACAAUUUUUAUAAUAGUAUUGGUUUGUCGAAAAUAUUACUUGAAAAUAAAACUCAUACAACCGGUACUUUAAGAUCAAAUAGAAAAUUAAAUCCUACUCAAAUCACAGGUAAAGAUGUUAAACUUUAGGAGACUAAAGAAAGGAGGCCACAAGUUUUCUAGAAAGGGAUCGAUUUAUGUCAGUAGAUGGAAAGACAAAAGGGAUGUUUUUAGCAUUACUACUAGAUACCAUCCUUUGAUGACCACUGUGCAAAAUAAACGUUGGAUAAAUAUUCAAAAACCAAAACAAAUAAUCGAGUACAACUCAAAUAUGUCUGGUAUAGAUCGUUGUGACCAAAUGCUGUCAUAUUAUUCAAGUCCUAGAAUAACCAUCAAGUGGUACAAGAAAGUACUAUUUCAUCUUCUUGAUGUCUUCGUGGAAUUCAUUCUACAUUUACAAAAAAAAAAUUCCUCAGUAUACAGGACAUUUUAUUGAUUUUCAUCGUGAAGUUGUCAGAAAACUUAUUCACUUACCACUCACAUAACAAAUGGACGUCAACAAGAAUAAAGGAAAAAGCAGAAAUAAUUUGAAAAUUCAAGGUCACUCUCAAGAGAAGAUACCAUUACCAAAGAGUAAGAUAAAUAUUUUUUUUUUAUUUUACUCAAGGCUGAUCAAGGAAAACAUACUUUUUGAGUUGUCGGGAGUCUUACAAGAAAAAAAUUAGAAAAAUUACGUCUUAGAGGUGCAAAGAUUGUUCAUCAAAUCUACCAUUGUGCCCAGGAUGCCCAGGACCCUGAUUUUCAAAUUAUCAUGUAAAUAAAUAAUUUUAACUAUUUAAAAAUUGUAUGUAUCAAAUGCAUUUUUUUUUGUGUUAUAAUAAAAAAGAUAUUUUAUAAUAAUUAUCAUGUUGAUAUAAAUAUAUCAAUAUAGUAUAAAUAAAUAAAAAGGAUUUGUCUGAAA